rnacentral:rRNA from 1 species
AGAGUUUGAUCAUGGCUCAGAUUGAACGCUGGCGGCAUGCCUUACACAUGCAAGUCGAACGGUAACGCGGGGGCAACCCUGGCGACGAGUGGCGAACGGGUGAGUAAUACAUCGGAACAUAUCCAGUAGCGGGGGAUAACCUAUCGAAAGAUGGACUAAUACCGCAUACGAUCUACGGAUGAAAGCAGGGGACCGCAAGGCCUUGCACUAUUGGAGUGGCCGAUGUCGGAUUAGCUAGUUGGUGAGGUAAAGGCUUACCAAGGCGACGAUCCGUAGCUGGUCUGAGAGGACGAUCAGCCACACUGGAACUGAGACACGGUCCAGACUCCUACGGGAGGCAGCAGUGGGGAAUUUUGGACAAUGGGCGCAAGCCUGAUCCAGCCAUGCCGCGUGAGUGAAGAAGGCCUUCGGGUUGUAAAGCUCUUUCGGUGAAGACGAAACGGUUAGCGCUAAUAACGCUGACUAAUGACGGUACUCACAGAAGAAGCACCGGCUAACUACGUGCCAGCAGCCGCGGUAAUACGUAGGGUGCAGGCGUUAAUCGGAAUUACUGGGCGUAAAGCGUGCGCAGGCGGUUUGCUAAGACAGGUGUGAAAUCCCCGAGCUUAACUUGGGAAUUGCGCUUGUAACUGGCAAGCUAGAGUGUGGCAGAGGGGGGUGGAAUUCCACGUGUAGCAGUGAAAUGCGUAGAUAUGUGGAGGAACACCGAUGGCGAAGGCAGCCCCCUGGGUUAACACUGACGCCCAUGCACGAAAGCGUGGGGAGCAAACAGGAUUAGAUACCCUGGUAGUCCACGCCCUAAACUAUGUCAACUAGUUG